UACGUAGGGGGCUAGCGUUGUCCGGAUUUAUUGGGCGUAAAGAGCUCGUAGGCGGCUUGUCACGUCGGAUGUGAAAGCCCGAGGCUUAACCUCGGGUCUGCAUUCGAUACGGGCUAGCUAGAGUGUGGUAGGGGAGAUCGGAAUUCCUGGUGUAGCGGUGAAAUGCGCAGAUAUCAGGAAGAACACCAAUGGCGAAAGCAGCUCUCUGGGACGGUACUGACGCUGAUGCGCGAAAGCCAGGGGAGCGAACGGG
rnacentral:rRNA from 1 species